rnacentral:lncRNA from 1 species
UUACUACUACUAACUUCAUUCCCAUAAUUAUAACAUUCUCCAUGUUGAAACCAGAUAUAGUAAUGUGGCAUGAAACCUUUAUUUAUUAAAUGCUUCCAUACAUUUCUACGAGUUGCCAAUUUUGAAUUGUUGCAUUUCCGACAAGGACAAAACAUCUUACCGCUUUCCUGGGUGAGCGGUGUAGAAUCUGCUUGAUGCAUGAAUGUCUCCAGCCCUUCGAGAUAUUCUUUCGUCUCUCUCCCGUUAGCAUCUCUGUAAGUACUCCGAAACUCCAUAAUAUUUCCAUCACCCGACAUU